rnacentral:rRNA from 1 species
GACAGAGGUGCCAAGCGUUAGGCGGAAUCACUGGGCUUAAAGCGUGUGUAGGCGGGUCGUUAAGUACCUUGUGAAAUCCCCCGGCUCAACCGGGGAACGGCUGGGUAUACUGGCGAUCUUGAGCCACCUAGGGGCAGUCGGAACAAGUGGUGGAGCGGUGAAAUGCGUAGAUAUCACUUGGAACGCCAAUGGUGAAAACAGACUGCUGGGGGUGUGCUGACGCUGGAGACACGAAAGCCAGGGGAGCAAACGGG